AAGUCGUAACAAGGUUUCCGUAGGUGAACCUGCGGAAGGAUCAUUAACACGUAUCCAAACGUUAAAACCCCCCUGUGAACCUUUAUUAGUGCGCCCCGUCACGUACCCGAGCCGUAGGAUGUGGUAAAUCAUUGCGUAGUGGUGGGGUUCUCUCAUUGCUACAGAGAUUAGAUUCAGGACCUAGCCAACACGGCUGGUGUCAGGUCCCGGGCCCUCGUGGCUCCCUACCACCCCAUUUAAAGAUGAAGGGCUAUGGCCAAGUGGCAGGAUGCCCAGAACAAAAACGUACAACUGUUAACAAUGAAUAUCUUGGUUCUC
rnacentral:misc_RNA from 1 species